AAGUCGUAACAAGGUCUCCGUAGGUGAACCUGCGGAGGGAUCAUUAACACGUUUAUUAACGUUUAUAUACAUACACGGUAACUGGAGAACAAAAAGAUAAAAUUAUGAAAAUAAUUGUAUAUUUUUCGACUCAGUGAUCUCCCUAACAUUGGAAUAUUAUAGUAUUUUAUACUACUUUAUUCUAAUGAUAGGCUCUUUAUCUUACUAUUAACCCCUUUCCAACUGGCUACAGUCUCUGUAUCCUUAUUACUGACAAUAGUCUUUUUUCGAUUGCUAUUAAUUUAUCAAUCUAAAAAAACAAAAUAUUCAAUGCAAAGCACAACUCUUAGCAACGGAUAUCUUGGUUCUC
rnacentral:misc_RNA from 1 species